AUGGACAUGAGGGCCCCUGCCCAGCUCCUGGGUCUGCUGUUGCUCUGGCUCCCAGGUGCCAGCUGUGCCACUCAGAUGACACAAUCUCCAUCCACCCUGUCUGUAUCACUAGGAGACACAGUCACCAUCACUUGUCGGGCCAGUCAGGGCAUUAACAAUAUUUUAGACUGGUAUCAGCAGAAAGCAGGAAAACCUCCUAAGCGACUGAUCUAUGGGGCAUCUAAUUUGGACAGUGGGGUCCCCUCGAGGUUCAGAGGCAGUGGGUCUGGGACAGAUUAUUCUCUGACCAUCAGUGGCCUGCAGGCUGAAGAUGUUGCAGAUUAUUACUGUCUGCAGUAUGACAGUUUCCCUCCACAGUGUUACAAGUCAUAG